UUUAAUUUCAUUGAUUUCAAAUUUAUUGUAUGCAUUUUUAAAGAAUUUAUUGAUUAGUUAUUAAAGGCAGAUUAUUCGACAAAUUGGAAAGAAUAACAAAAGCUAACGUUGUUUCGAAUGUUUACUUAAAUUUCAAAUAAUUGCGGUUAUUUUGACCAAUUUUAAAGGAUUGAAAAAAUAUUGAAAUAUUUGAAAUUCUUCUAAAACGUAUUGUGUAUACGUUAGCAUACAAAUAUAUAUUAUACGAUAACUAUUUGUUGCGAUUUAUAAUUAUUAUUAUCAUCACUAUGGUAACAAGAAGGAAAAUAAAUCACAUUUACUUGCCUUUGCACUUAUUACCACAAAACUUGUACAUUUUCGUACAACGACAUAUCAAACAUUGUAUACUUAGAAUAAUAUGAAUUAUUAUUACAUUCUCUAAAUUGAGUAUCGUCAUUUGGAUAUAUUGACACAUGUACAAUGAGAUUUAAAAUAUCUGUGCAAAGUAGUAGUGGUCACAAAAAUUUAGUAACAUGUGUAGCUUGGAGUUCAGCGGAGGAAAUAUUUUCUUGUGGAGAGGAUCAUUUACUGAUAUGUUGGUAUUUAGAAAGUGGAAAUACACAUUCAACGGUCAUUACAGAGUUUCCAUUAGACUUUUUUCCUACUUCGAUGCAAUGGCAUCCACGUCCUAAUCAUUUGGUAACAGCCAGUAAAAAGCAAUCAUUAGAUGUACUUUUAAUCACUACAGCCGAUGGAAGGUUUCAUCUAGUUAGUAAAAAUGGUCGUAUUGAAAAAAGUAUUGAAGCUCAUAAAGGUGCUGUAACUAUUGGCAAAUGGAAUACAGAUGGUUCCGUAUUACUUACAGCUGGAGAGGAUGGUUUAAUAAAAGUUUGGUCACGCAAUGGUAUGCUUCGUUCUGUAAUAGUCAGAGGCAACUCAUCUAUUUUAACAUCGGACUGGAGUCCAGAUUGUUCUAAAAUAUUGUAUUCGCAAGGAGGACAUUUAUUUUUUCAAUCACUCAAUUCAAAUUCAAAACCAUACAAGUGGUAUGCUCAUGAAGGUCUUGUCUUGACUGUUUGUUGGAAUCAUAGUCAUGGAUUCAUUAUUUCGGGUGGAGAAGAUUGUCGAUAUAAAGUUUGGGAUUCUAAUGGUAAUCAAAUCUAUAGUAGUAGCUCCGGCGAUUAUCCCAUUACAGCAGUUAAUUGCUGCAGUUCAGGCGAUUAUUUUGCUAUUGGAUCUUUCAACAUGAUUAAACUUUGCGAUAGAACAGGAUGGUCUCAUUCCUUAGAAAGAAUUAAUGCUGGGAGUGUAUACAGUAUAGCAUGGUCUAGUGAUGGCACUCAGGUGGCUAUGACUUGUGGAAGCAAUGUUUUAACUGGCCAUGUCAUAGGCAAAAGACUCGAAUGGAAUAAUUACGAAGCUACUUUAAUUAAAAAGGAAAUAUUAGAAAUUAGAGAAGUCGGCAAUGAAGUUCACGAAACAAUAGAAAUAUCAGAUCGUGUAGUUCAAUUGGCAUUUGGUUUUGAUCAUUUAAUUGUAAUCACACCGGUUCAAUGUCACAUUUACUCUGUCACAAAUUGGAAUACUCCUGCAAUAUUUGAUUUGAAAAGUAGUUCUGUGUCGGCAGUUGUUCUUGCAAACAAACACUUUUUAUUAAUGGAAUGGAAUUCUAUAACGUUGUACAAUUACCAAGGCCGUUUAUUAGGUGUACCUAAAUGGAAGGGUAUGACACAGGAACCCCUUUAUCCACCUUGCAUAUCCUUGUGUUUCGAUACUCUUGUUGUAAGAGAUCAGAAAAAUGAGAAAUUACUACAUGUUUUAGAAAUAUCAUAUAACAAGCCAAUUGUUGAAAGUCAGUCGCAUACUCAUCCUCAGUAUAUUACUCAAUUGGCAUUAAACCAUAUUGGAAGUUCUAGCGAUCGACAAUUAGCCCUCAUUGAUAUAACUAAAGAUUUAUAUUUAAUUUCCAUAAGAGCAACAGGUUAUAGACGAGCUUGUAAAAUAGCUGCUAUGGCACAAAAUAUGACGUGGGCUAUUGACGCAAAUGUAUUAGCAGCUAUGUUGGAUGCCACUUUAUCCGUAUGGUUAUGUCCUAAUUGUGUACAUUAUAGCGAUCGUAAGAUUGUACGACGAACUAGAAUUGAUAAAGAGAGCAGUGAAUUUGGAAAACAACCAACUAUUAUCAGCGUUUACAAUGGUAUGGUCAAUGUAAGACGCGGAGAUGGUGCUUUAGUUUCAUCCCAGUUUUACACUUUUUUUACAAGUUUGCAUCAGCUCAUAUUACACAAAAAAUGGAAAGAAUCUCUUUCGCUUUGUCGGAUUGCACAAAAUGAGAUAUUGUGGACAUGCAUGGCUAUUAUGGCAACAGAUAAUAAAGAGUUGAAUGUUGCAGAAGAAGCAUAUGCAGCCAUUAGAAGAUACGAUAAAGUUCAUUAUGUUCGAUAUAUUAAAGUGAUUAUUAUAAAUGAAUUUGUCCAAAAUGACAGAAAGAUAUGCAGAAAUGGCAUUAUUAUCUGGUGAUUUGUUAGCAGCGGAAGGUAUACUUUUACAAAAUGGGUUAAUCGAAGAAGCCAUUAAAUUAAAUAUCAAAGUUUACAAUUGGAACAGGGCACUUGAACUUGCCAUAAGGCAUAAGAAACAAAUAGAAGAAGUUUUAAAUGCAAGAAAAGAUUAUUUAAAAACAUUAAAGAAAGAAGAAACAAAUUCAAGCUACAUUGCUGCGAUAAAUAAUAUAUCGUCAUCUUUGGUACAACAG
rnacentral:misc_RNA from 1 species